rnacentral:rRNA from 2 species
AAACUGGAGGAAGGUGGGGAUGACGUCAAGUCAUCAUGGCCCUUACGACCAGGGCUACACACGUGCUACAAUGGCGCAUACAAAGAGAAGCGACCUCGCGAGAGCAAGCGGACCUCAUAAAGUGCGUCGUAGUCCGGAUUGGAGUCUGCAACUCGACUCCAUGAAGUCGGAAUCGCUAGUAAUCGUGGAUCAGAAUGCCACGGUGAAUACGUUCCCGGGCCUUGUACACACCGCCCGUCACACCAUGGGAGUGGGUUGCAAAAGAAGUAGGUAGCUUAACCUUCGGGAGGGCGCUUACCACUUUGUGAUUCAUGACUGGGGUGAAGUCGUAACAAGGUAACCGUAGGGGAACCUGCGGUUGGAUCACCUCCUUACCUUAAAGAAGC